GAAUUGCUCAGUGGUACAGUAUCUGUUUUGCAAGCAGAAGGUCGCGGGUUCGAUCACUGACAGUCAGUGUGGACA